AUAUUUGCAAAAAUUUCAGGUUCGGCAUUGUCCGAUGAAAAGGGAAUCUGGUGUAAUACCAGAGCUGUCCCCGCAACUGUAGAUCACUGAAGUAUUUCUGUACAAAGCCACUGUAAUUACGGGAAGGCACAGAAAUGUGAAAGCCAGGAGACCUGCCUGAAACUAUAAUUAUUAA
rnacentral:ncRNA from 1 species